rnacentral:rRNA from 1 species
GACGAACGCUGGCGGCGUGCUUAACACAUGCAAGUCGAACGAAGUGGCGAACGGGUGAGUAACGCGUAAUCAACCUGCCCUUCAGAGGGGGAAAACAGUUGGAAACGACUGCUAAUACCGCAUACUGAAGGAGGGGAUUGCGUCUGAUUAGCUAGUUGGGUGGGUAACGGCCCUACAAGGCGAUGAUCAGUAGCCGGUCUGAGAGGAUGAACGGCCACAUUGGGACUGAGGACCGGCCCAGACUCCUACGGGAGGGAGCAGUGGGGAAUUUUCCGCAAUGGACGAAAGUCUGACGGAGCAACGCCGGGGGGGUGAUGACGGCCUUCGGGUUGUAAAGCUCUGUUUAUCGGGACGCGGUACCGGAAUAGAAAGCCACGGCUAACUACGUGCCAGCAGCCGCGGUAAUUC